AAAGUCGUAACAAGGUCUCCGUUGGUGAACCAGCGGAGGGAUCAUUACAGAGUUGCAAAACUCCCACAACCAUCGCGAACGUUACCUAUACCGUUGCUUCGGCGGGCCCCGCGCCCGCCGGCGGCAUACCAAACUCUUGUUUAUAUAGGCCUCUCUGAGUAUUUUGACAAAUAAGUUAAAACUUUCAACAACGGAUCUCUUGGUUCUG
rnacentral:misc_RNA from 1 species